CCUCCUUCCCAUUUUAAUUGUCCACUUAGCAAAAAAAAAAUUUCCCAUAAUAUUAGUCCAGUUCUUCAUUCAAAGCAAAUAUUGUAGUUUCAAGAAUUGACUAUUACUCCCCAUAUGCACAAUCCCCAUAAAUUUCCUACGGCAGUACGUAAAGCUGGCUGUGAAGCUGGAGUAUAUGUGAACAAGUCUAACAUUGUAUUCAGUAAGUAAUUAAUAUGGCAGAUGAGUUUUAUCUUUUUUUGUGUAAUCCGUGCAAUGAUAGUAGACAAAAUGAGUUAUAUUUAUGAUUUCUUAAUAUGUGUGAUUUUGGCUAAGUGGACAAUUAAAAUGGGAAGGAGGGAG
rnacentral:lncRNA from 1 species